GACGAACGCUGGCGGCGUGCUUAACACAUGCAAGUCGAACGGAAAGGCCUGCUUUCCCUUGUGGAUUGCGGGUACUCGAGUGGCGAACGGGUGAGUAACACGUGAGUGAUCUGCCCCCAACUUGGGUAUAAGCCUGGGAAACUGGGUCUAAUUCCCGAUAGGACUGCAGGGUGGUGCCUGUGGUGGAAAACGAUUUUCUAGUGGUUGGGGAUGAGCUCGCGGCGUAUCAGCUUGUUGGUGGGGUAAUGGCCUACCAAGGCGGCGACGGGUAGCCGGCGUGAGAGGGUGGACGGCCACAUUGGGACUGAGAUACGGCCCAGACUCCUACGGGAGGCAGCAGUGGGGAAUAAUGCGCAAGGGGCGGAAGCCUGAUGCAGCGACGCCGCGUGGGGGAUGACGGCCUUCGGGUUGUAAACUCCUUGCGACCGAGAGGAAGCCACCUGGUUGGAAGGGUGGUGACGGUAGUGGUAGAAGAAGCACCGGCUAACUACGUG
rnacentral:rRNA from 1 species